ACACUGCCCCCGGUGAGUGAGGGUGCGGCGCCCCCUGGCCCGUGCUCAGCCGCUCCCUGACCCCCUGCGCCCACCUCCAGGAGCU
rnacentral:pre_miRNA from 1 species